rnacentral:ncRNA from 9 species
CUCCUGACUCCAGGUCCUGUGU